GAUUGAACGCUGGCGGCAGGCCUAACACAUGCAAGUCGAGCGGUAGCACAGAGAGCUUGCUCUCGGGUGACGAGCGGCGGACGGGUGAGUAAUGUCUGGGAAACUGCCUGAUGGAGGGGGAUAACUACUGGAAACGGUAGCUAAUACCGCAUAAUGUCGCAAGACCAAAGUGGGGGACCUUCGGGCCUCAUGCCAUCAGAUGUGCCCAGAUGGGAUUAGCUAGUAGGUGGGGUAACGGCUCACCUAGGCGACGAUCCCUAGCUGGUCUGAGAGGAUGACCAGCCACACUGGAACUGAGACACGGUCCAGACUCCUACGGGAGGCAGCAGUGGGGAAUAUUGCACAAUGGGCGCAAGCCUGAUGCAGCCAUGCCGCGUGUGUGAAGAAGGCCUUCGGGUUGUAAAGCACUUUCAGCGGGGAGGAAGGCGUUAAGGUUAAUAACCUUGGCGAUUGACGUUACCCGCAGAAGAAGCACCGGCUAACUCCGUGCCAGCAGCCGCGGUAAUACGGAGGGUGCAAGCGUUAAUCGGAAUUACUGGGCGUAAAGCGCACGCAGGCGGUCUGUCAAGUCGGAUGUGAAAUCCCCGGGCUCAACCUGGGAACUGCAUUCGAAACUGGCAGGCUAGAGUCCUGUAGAGGGGGGUAGAAUUCCAGGUGUAGCGGUGAAAUGCGUAGAGAUCUGGAGGAAUACCGGUGGCGAAGGCGGCCCCCUGGACAAAGACUGACGCUCAGGUGCGAAAGCGUGGGGAGCAAACAGGAUUAGAUACCCUGGUAGUCCACGCCGUAAACGAUGUCGAUUUGGAGGUUGUGCCCUUGAGGCGUGGCUUCCGGAGCUAACGCGUUAAAUCGACCGCCUGGGGAGUACGGCCGCAAGGUUAAAACUCAAAUGAAUUGACGGGGGCCCGCACAAGCGGUGGAGCAUGUGGUUUAAUUCGAUGCAACGCGAAGAACCUUACCUGGUCUUGACAUCCACAGAACUUUCCAGAGAUGGAUUGGUGCCUUCGGGAACUGUGAGACAGGUGCUGCAUGGCUGUCGUCAGCUCGUGUUGUGAAAUGUUGGGUUAAGUCCCGCAACGAGCGCAACCCUUAUCCUUUGUUGCCAGCGGUUCGGCCGGGAACUCAAAGGAGACUGCCAGUGAUAAACUGGAGGAAGGUGGGGAUGACGUCAGGUCAUCAUGGCCCUUACGACCAGGGCUACACACGUGCUACAAUGGCAUAUACAAAGAGAAGCGACCUCGCGAGAGCAAGCGGACCUCAUAAAGUAUGUCGUAGUCCGGAUUGGAGUCUGCAACUCGACUCCAUGAAGUCGGAAUCGCUAGUAAUCGUAGAUCAGAAUGCUACGGUGAAUACGUUCCCGGGCCUUGUACACACCGCCCGUCACACCAUGGGAGUGGGUUGCAAAAGAAGUAGGUAGCUUAACCUUCGGGAGGGCGCUUACCACUUUGUGAUUCAUGACUGGGGUGAAGUCGUAACAAGG
rnacentral:rRNA from 1 species